UCUCUCUCUGUCCCUUCUCGUCUUCUUAUAAGGGUACCCAUCAUAUUGGAUUAAGGGCCCACCCCACUCCAGUGUGAAUUCAUCUUAAUUUAAUUAGUUACAGCUUCAGUGACCCUUCCAAAUAAGAUCACAUCUUGAGGUUCCAGGGGGAACACGAAUUCGAGGCGAGGGAAAGACUAACCCAGUACAGGUGGAUUUGAGAGAACCUAUCCUCCUGCCUUCUUAUGGCCAAUUUGAACAACCCUUUCUCCAUCUCCAAGCACUGAUGUCUCAGCCGUGUGAGCUUAUUGCACAUCAGGUGACUACAUGCUGUAUUCACUUUGUGUAAAUGUAUCAAGCUAGAUACCUAUGAUUACAAGUUUUUCAGUAUGUAUGGUAUUCUUCAAUAAAAAGGAAUGAAAGAAAAAAAAGAUAGGGCUAGUCCAUGGACCUCUGUAAGCCUGGGAGGCAUCAACCCUGGGGAAUUAUAAAAAGUCAUUACCGCUUUGAUAAUUGAUUCCUCUUGUUCUGAGAAUUAGCCCUUGGCAUAUUUGUGGGUUCUAUGAAGACCAAACGACUGGCCGCAAAGAUCUCAGGUAACCGUGCAUUAUCUGAUGCACCAAGUGACGAAGUGGG
rnacentral:lncRNA from 1 species